GAAACUAUCAGACUAGAGUGAGAUAGAGGCAAGUGGAAUUCCAUGUGUAGCGGUAAAAUGCGUAAAUAUAUGGAGGAACACCAGAGGCGUAGGCGGCUUGCUGGGUCUUUACUGACGCUGAGGCACGAAAGCGUGGGGAGCAAACAGGAUUAGAUACCCUGGUAGUCCACGCCGUAAACGAUGAGUACUAAGUGUCGGGGAAACUCGGUACUGAAGUUAACACAUUAAGUACUCCGCCUGAGUAGUACGUACGCAAGUAUGAAACUUAAAGGAAUUGACGGGACUCCGCACAAGCGGUGGAUCAUGUUGUUUAAUUCGAAGAUACACGAAAAACCUUACCAGGUCUUGACAUACUCUGCAAAGCUAUAGCAAUAUAGUGGAGGUUACCAGGGAUACAGGUGGUGCAUGGUUGUCGUCAGCUCGUGUCGUGAGAUGUUAGGUUAAGUCCUAAAACGAGCGCAACCCUUGUCACUAGUUGCCAGCAUGUUAUGAUGGGCACUUUAGUGAGACUGCCAAUGAAAAAUUGGAGGAAGGUGA
rnacentral:rRNA from 1 species